GACAGAGGUGCCAAGCGUUAGGCGGAAUCACUGGGCUUAAAGCGUGUGUAGGCGGACUUGUAAGUACCUUGUGAAAUCCCACGGCUCACCCGUGGAACUGCUGGGUAUACUGCGAGUCUUGAGCCACUUAGGGGCUGUCGGAACAGGCGGUGGAGCGGUGAAAUGCGUAGAUAUCGCCUGGAACGCCAAAGGUGAAAACAGGCAGCUGGGAGUGUGCUGACGCUGAGACACGAAAGCCAGGGGAGCGAACGGG
rnacentral:rRNA from 1 species